CAACACGCUAUCUUCUACCCUCUUCAAUUUCCUAGUUCCCUGUCAAGUUUGCCUCUCUCAUCCGAGAUAAAAUUCAAAAUUUUCGAACAAAAAAAGGGAGCAUAUUCAUAAAUUGAAAAAAAAAUGAUGCAAGGAGGAGGAGGAGGCGAGGAAGUGAGCAUAGAGGAGCUCGCCUCCAAUCUUUCCACCUACAAAGAGCAACUUCAUCAGGUCCGUCAACUUUUGGCAAAUGAUCGUCAAAAUUCUGAAUAUGCGGACAUGGAGAAGGAGCUCCAAGAGGUAAUUGCUUUGACGGAAGAGCUCCUUGCAACUGCGAGGCAGAAUGAGAUAUCACCUGAUGCGCAGCCAACAGCCAGUGAGUCUCCUAGUUUGCCCUAUUCUAAGGGGAAUCAAAUGGAAUUAGGAAGCGUCUGUGACCAUCAUGAAAAAUUUCCCCUUGGCACGAAAGUCCAAGCUGUUUGGAGUGAAGAUGGUGAAUGGUAUGAUGCUACAAUUGAGGCUUUAACUCCAAAUGGGUAUUAUGUUUCCUAUGAUGAAUGGGGUAAUAAGGAAGAGGUGGAUCCUGCCAAUGUAAGGCCAGUUCAGUACGAUGUGUUGCUGGAAGCUGAAAGGGUAGCUGAAGCAACAAAACAAGCUAUCAAGCGGAAGAUUGCACAAGCUUCAUCUGUUGACUUUCAGUCUCGAAGUUUACCAGCAAAGCUCCGUAUAGAACCUGAUGAUCCUGAGGAUGUGAAAGCUGCCAAGCGCAAGAAGAUUCAUUCCUUUAAGUCGAAGAUGCGAAUGGAACAACUUGAGGUAACACAAAAUAAGAGGCAGAAUGCUUGGCAGCAGUUCCAGACGACCAAAGGCAGGGCUAAGAAGAUUGGUUUCCUUUCCGGACGCAAGCGAGAAAGCAUCUUCAAGUCUCCUGAUGAUCCUCAAGGUAAGGUUGGUGUGACUGGAAGUGGGAAAGGUCUGACGGAGUUCCAAAGGAGGGAAAAACACUUGCAUCUCAAGGGUGGAGGAAAUGAGCAGACUGAUGAGUAGAAUGCAAUGAGGAUUUGGGGUUUCAUUGCGUCCAGCCCUUGAGUUUUGAUAGGUUGACCCACGUCCACAGGACUACGAAAUGGGGCUAAUUGCAAACAAAUUCCAUAGAAGACACUGAGGAUUUGAGGGUCCUGUGCUGCAGCCCGUGUCACGCUACUCAGGGAUGCCUCUGUUAGAAGUGGGAGCAUAUAUGGCAUUGGACUGCAAUGGAAAGGAAGUGGGGAAUGGGAUUAACCUUUUAACAACGGUGUUUAAUGUUUGCUUUACCUAUUUGUUUACGCGUGUAGUCUUCUGCUCGAUGUGCACGAAUACCAGUACCAAAGAUCUGUGGGAUGACCUAUAAAAAGUAGUGUGUAAAUAGGGAUUCAAAUUCAUGACCCACUUCCUUUGACAAAAAGGAAAAUGGAUUUUUCUUUUAAAUCGAGAAUGAUAUCAUUCAAGUU